rnacentral:rRNA from 1 species
GACGAGCGCUGGCGGCGUGCUUAACACAUGCAAGUCGAACGGUGAAGGGACCGGUUUUUGCUGGUUCUGGAUGAGUGGCGAACGGGUGAGUAACACGUGAGUAACCUGCCCCCUUCUUCUGGAUAACCGCAUGAAAGUGUGGCUAAUACGGGAUAUUCUGCGCCUGCUGCAUGGUGGGUGUGGGAAAGAUAUUGUUUCGGUGGGGGAUGGGCUCGCGGCCUAUCAGCUUGUUGGUGGGGUGAUGGCCUACCAAGGCGGUGACGGGUAGCCGGCCUGAGAGGGUGGACGGUCACACUGGGACUGAGACACGGCCCAGACUCCUACGGGAGGCAGCAGUGGGGAAUAUUGCACAAUGGGCGCAAGCCUGAUGCAGCGACGCCGCGUGAGGGAUGGAGGCCUUCGGGUUGUAAACCUCUUUCGCCAGUGAAGCAGGCCUGUCCCUUUUGUGGGUGGGUUGACGGUAGCUGGAUAAGAAGCGCCGGCUAACUACGUG